CCUACGGGAGGCAGCAGUGGGGAAUAGUGGGCAAUGGGCGCAAGCCUGACCCAGCAACGCCGCGUGAAGGAAGAAGGCUUUCGGGUUGUAAACUUCUUUUAAGAGGGAAGAGCAGAAGACGGUACCUCUGGAAGAAGCCACGGCUAACUACGUGCCAGCAGCCGCGGUAAUACGGAGGUGGCAAGCGUUGUCCGGAUUUACGGGGUGUAAAGGGCGUGUAGCCGGGCUGACAAGGCAGAUGUGAAAUUCCGGGGCUCAACCCCGGACCUGCAUUGGAAACUGUUGGUCUUGAGUAUCGGAGAGGCAGGCGGACUUCCUCGUGUAGCGGUGAAAUUCGUAGCUAUUAGGAGGAACACCAGUGGCGACGGCGGCCUGCUGGACGACACCUGACGGUGCGGCGCGAAAGCGUGGGGCGCACACAGGAUUAGAUACCCGUGUAGUC
rnacentral:rRNA from 1 species